rnacentral:tRNA from 2 species
GUCCCGGUAGCUCAGUAGGAUAGAGCGCCGGAUUCCUAAUCCGUAGGUCGGAGGUUCGAAUCCUCUCCGGGACACCA